rnacentral:rRNA from 1 species
GUCUUUUGAGUGAAAUCGAGUAGGACGGCGCACGUGAAACGUUGUCUGAAUAUGGGGGGACCAUCCUCCAAGGCUAAAUACUACUGACUGACCGAUAGUGAACCAGUACCGUGAGGGAAAGGCGAAAAGAACCCCGGAGAGGGGAGUGAAAUAGAUCCUGAAACCGUAUGCGUACAAGCAGUGGGAGCCCACUUUGUUGGGUGACUGCGUACCUUUUGUAUAAUGGGUCAGCGACUUAUAUUCAGUGGCAAGCUUAACCGUAUAGGGUAGGCGUAGCGAAAGCGAGUCUUAAUAGGGCGUUUUAGUCGCUGGGUAUAGACCCGAAACCGGGCGAUCUAUCCAUGAGCAGGUUGAAGGUUAGGUAACACUGACUGGAGGACCGAACCCACUUCCGUUGAAAAGGCAGGGGAUGACUUGUGGAUCGGAGUGAAAGGCUAAUCAAGCUCGGAGAUAGCUGGUUCUCCUCGAAAGCUAUUUAGGUAGCGCCUCAUGUAUCACUCUGGGGGGUAGAGCACUGUUUCGGCUAGGGGGUCAUCCCGACUUACCAAACCGAUGCAAACUCCGAAUACCCAGAAGUGCAAGCAUGGGAGACACACGGCGGGUGCUAACGUCCGUCGUGAAAAGGGAAACAACCCAGACCGUCAGCUAAGGUCCCAAAGUUGUAGUUAAGUGGUAAACGAUGUGGGAAGGCUUAGACAGCUAGGAGGUUGGCUUAGAAGCAGCCACCCUUUAAAGAAAGCGUAAUAGCUCACUAGUCGAGUCGGCCUGCGCGGAAGAUGUAACGGGGCUCAAACUACACACCGAAGCUACGGGUUCAACGCAAGUUGAGCGGUAGAGGAGCGUUCUGUAAGCCUGUGAAGGUGAGUUGAGAAGCUUGCUGGAGGUAUCAGAAGUGCGAAUGCUGACAUGAGUAACGACAAUGGGAGUGAAAAACUCCCACGCCGAAAGACCAAGGGUUCCUGCGCAACGUUAAUCGACGCAGGGUGAGUCGACUCCUAAGGCGAGGCUGAAAGGCGUAGUCGAUGGGAAACAGGUUAAUAUUCCUGUACUUCUGAUUACUGCGAUGGGGGGACGGAGAAGGCUAGGCCAGCUUGGCGUUGGUUGUCCAAGUUUAAGGCGGUAGGCUGACUGUUUAGGUAAAUCCGGACAGUUAAGGCCGAGAGCUGAUGACGAGUAUCCUUUGGAUACGAAGUGGUUGAUGCCAUGCUUCCAGGAAAAGCCUCUAAGCUUCAGGUAAUCAGGAAUCGUACCCCAAACCGACACAGGUGGUCGGGUAGAGAAUACCAAGGCGCUUGAGAGAACUCGGGUGAAGGAACUAGGCAAAAUGGCACCGUAACUUCGGGAGAAGGUGCGCCGGUGAAGGUGAAGGACUUGCUCCGUAAGCCUAUGCCGGUCGAAGAUACCAGGCCGCUGCGACUGUUUAUUAAAAACACAGCACUCUGCAAACACGAAAGUGGACGUAUAGGGUGUGACGCCUGCCCGGUGCCGGAAGGUUAAUUGAUGGGGUUAGCGCAAGCAAAGCUCUUGAUCGAAGCCCCGGUAAACGGCGGCCGUAACUAUAACGGUCCUAAGGUAGCGAAAUUCCUUGUCGGGUAAGUUCCGACCUGCACGAAUGGCGUAACGAUGGCGGCGCUGUCUCCACCCGAGACUCAGUGAAAUUGAAAUCGCUGUGAAGAUGCAGUGUAUCCGCGGCUAGACGGAAAGACCCCGUGAACCUUUACUGUAGCUUUGCACUGGACUUUGAGCUUGCUUGUGUAGGAUAGGUGGGAGGCUUUGAAGUAGGGACGCCAGUCUCUAUGGAGCCAACCUUGAAAUACCACCCUGGCAAUCUUGAGGUUCUAACUCUGGUCCGUUAUCCGGAUCGAGGACAGUGUAUGGUGGGCAGUUUGACUGGGGCGGUCUCCUCCUAAAGAGUAACGGAGGAGUACGAAGGUGCGCUCAGACCGGUCGGAAAUCGGUCGUAGAGUAUAAAGGCAAAAGCGCGCUUGACUGCGAGACAGACACGUCGAGCAGGUACGAAAGUAGGUCUUAGUGAUCCGGUGGUUCUGUAUGGAAGGGCCAUCGCUCAACGGAUAAAAGGUACUCCGGGGAUAACAGGCUGAUACCGCCCAAGAGUUCAUAUCGACGGCGGUGUUUGGCACCUCGAUGUCGGCUCAUCACAUCCUGGGGCUGAAGCCGGUCCCAAGGGUAUGGCUGUUCGCCAUUUAAAGUGGUACGCGAGCUGGGUUUAGAACGUCGUGAGACAGUUCGGUCCCUAUCUGCCGUGGACGUUUGAGAUUUGAGAGGGGCUGCUCCUAGUACGAGAGGACCGGAGUGGACGAACCUCUGGUGUUCCGGUUGUCACGCCAGUGGCAUUGCCGGGUAGCUAUGUUCGGAAAAGAUAACCGCUGAAAGCAUCUAAGCGGGAAACUUGCCUCAAGAUGAGAUCUCACUGGAGCCUUGAGCU